rnacentral:rRNA from 1 species
UAGUCCACGCCGUAAACGAUGGAUACUAGCUGUUUGGACUUCGGUCUGAGUGGCUAAGCGAAAGUGAUAAGUAUCCCACCUGGGGAGUACGUUCGCAAGAAUGAAACUCAAAGGAAUUGACGGGGGCCCGCACAAGCGGUGGAGCAUGUGGUUUAAUUCGAUGAUACGCGAGGAACCUUACCAGGGCUUAAAUGUAGUGGGACAGAUUUGGAAACAGAUUUUUCUUCGGACUCAUUACAAGGUGCUGCAUGGUUGUCGUCAGCUCGUGCCGUGAGGUGUCAGGUUAAGUCCUAUAACGAGCGCAACCCCUGCCGUUAGUUGCCAGCAUGUUAUGAUGGGGACUCUAACGGGACUGCCGGUGCAAACCGUGAGGAAGGUGGGGAUGACGUCAAAUCAUCACGGCCCUUACGUCCUGGGCCACACACGUGCUACAAUGGCCGGUACAGAGAGCAGCCAUGCUGUAAAGCAGAGCGAAUCUAUAAAGCCGGUCACAGUUCGGAUUGGGGU